UACGUAGGGGGCUAGCGUUGUCCGGAUUUAUUGGGCGUAAAGAGCGUGUAGGCGGCCAGGUAGGUCCGGUGUGAAAACUCGAGGCUUAACCUCGAGAUGUCAUCGGAAACCAUCUGGCUAGAGUCCGGAAGGGGAGAGUGGAAUUCCUGGUGUAGCGGUGAAAUGCGCAGAUAUCAGGAAGAACACCAAUGGCGAAAGCAGCUCUCUGGGACGGUACUGACGCUGAGACGCGAAAGCGUGGGGAGCGAACAGG
rnacentral:rRNA from 1 species